ACGGGUGAGUAACGCGUGGGAACGUGCCCUCUGGUUCGGAAUAACUCAGGGAAACUUGAGCUAAUACCGGAUACGCCCUUUUGGGGAAAGGCUUGCUGCCGGAGGAUCGGCCCGCGUCUGAUUAGCUAGUUGGUGAGGUAACGGCUCACCAAGGCGACGAUCAGUAGCUGGUCUGAGAGGAUGAUCAGCCACACUGGGACUGAGACACGGCCCAGACUCCUACGGGAGGCAGCAGUGGGGAAUAUUGGACAAUGGGCGCAAGCCUGAUCCAGUCAUGCCGCGUGAGUGAUGAAGGCCUUAGGGUUGUAAAGCUCUUUUAUCCGGGACGAUAAUGACGGUACCGGAGGAAUAAGCCCCGGCUAACUUCGUGCCAGCAGCCGCGGUAAUACGAAGGGGGCUAGCGUUGCUCGGAAUCACUGGGCGUAAAGGGCGCGUAGGCGGCGUUUUAAGUCGGGGGUGAAAGCCUGUGGCUCAACCACAGAAUGGCCUUCGAUACUGGGACGCUUGAGUAUGGUAGAGGUUGGUGGAACUGCGAGUGUAGAGGUGAAAUUCGUAGA
rnacentral:rRNA from 1 species